GUCUUGGAGACACCCUCCCCAACUAAGUGCCUCUUUGCAUAGCAAUGGCUCCCGUCCCCAUGCUCUCUGGUACCAUGACAACUGGACGGGUAGUGGCGGGUCGGGCGAGGCACAGCACAAAACCUAGUGGACCAGCCACUGGGAACAAUGAGUCUGUGGUGGCCAAAUCCAGCCUUGUUCUCCACUUUGUCAAGGGACAAUUUCAAGAGUACCAGGACAGCAUAAUCAGAGCAGCGUUCCUUACACAGACUGUCUGCUUAGACAACACAAUAGUGAAGUUUGAGACCUGGGGCAGCGCUGGACAGGAACAGUAUGGUAGCCCGGCCCCCCUGUACUAUGAAAUCACCAAAAAAGAUACAUUUGCACCAGCCAAGAAACAGGUGAAGGAGCUAGAAAGGCACGCCAGCACCAGCAUCGUCACUGUACUUGUGGGUAACAAGGCAGACCUGGCCAGCAAGAAAGCCCUGGAAUUCCAGGAAGCACAGGACUAUGCAGACGACAACAGUUGACUGUGGAGACAUCAGCAAAGACUGCAAUGAAUGUAAAUGAAAUUUUCAUGGUGAUAGCUAAGAAGAUUCCUAAAAUUAAGCCCCAGAAUGCAUCUGGUGCUCCAGGCUGAAACCUCCAGGAGAACCACCCAGCAAGCAAGAGCCACUGCUGCAGCAACUGAGCCUCUCUUGCCUGCCCACUGCAACUACUUUCUCUGCCUGAACGACUAGACUGGAAUCCAUUCUAACCAAUCGCACUCAGCAACUGGGGCCACCACUGGGGACAGGGGAAGGGGCCCACCAUGAUUUCUCCACAUAAUUUUGAUCAUGGGCCACAGUGAGUUAUUCUACCUGCACCUUUCUGUACAAAUACUAAUUCAAUUUUAAGUCUUAGAUCACUUUUUAAAUAAUAUUGAUUUUCUGCUCUUCCCACCUCCUCCCCUUUCUAUUGCUCUCCUACUUUUCCUUUGCUAGUAGCAGCCACAUGCUCCUGUUCCCCUCACCCUUGUAUAUGAGGAAGGUGGGGUUGGAGCAACUACCCUUUCUUUGCCUCUUGCAGAAUAGACUCAACAAAAGCAUCCUCAUCCAUACCUUAUUUGGCGUGGGCCUGGGUUCAGGUGAUGGAGUAGCUAGGGAAGAGAGAAGCAGCUCUUCCUUCAGCUGGCUGUCAUCAGGCUGCAGCCCUCCCCAACUCCUAACUCCCAGCUGGGAAACCACAGAAUUGCCACAGCAUUAUUGUGACAGCCAUGAACCCACUGCCCACAACUCCUCCACCCUCAGUCAUCCUGACCUCUGGCACUAAGCCCUGUUCUGACCAAAUCACAAUGAUGAGUAUUGGGAAGUAGGCAGGUAAAGGGGGAGUAGGAAGGGAUGGAACUGACUUUUUCUCUAUCUUAUAUUGGAUGUUUUUUUUCAACACGUAACCUAUCAGUAUCUUGUCAAUAUAGUCAGCCCAUUGAUCGACCUCAAAUAAUUUUUUUUUUAAUUUGGGAAUUUAGAUAUACAGAAAAAUUACAAGUAUAAUAUACAGACUUCCUGUGUACCCCUCAUUCAAUUUGUUCUAAUGUCACUAUCUUAGCGUCU